rnacentral:rRNA from 1 species
CCUACGGGUGGCAGCAGUGAGGAAUAUUGGUCAAUGGACGCGAGUCUAAACCAGCCAAGUCGCGUGCAGGAUGACUGCUCUAUGGGUUGUAAACUUCUUUUAUAUGGGAAUAAAAUGUUCCACGUGUGGGAUUUUGUAUGUACCAUAUGAAUAAGGAUCGGCUAACUCCGUGCCAGCAGCCGCGGUAAGACGGAGGAUCCGAGCGUUAUCCGGAUUUAUUGGGUUUAAAGGGUGCGUAGGUGGUUGGUUAAGUCAGUUGUGAAAUUUUGCGGCUCAACCGGAAAAUUGCAGUUGAAACUGUCAGUCGUGAGUACAGUAGAGGUGGGCGGAAUGCGUGGUGUAGCGGUGAAAUGCUUAGAGAUCACGAAGAACUCCGAUUGCGAAGGCAGCUCACUGGACUGCAACUGACACUGAGGCUCGAAAGUGUGGGUAUCAAACAGGAUUAGAUACCCCUGUAGUC